rnacentral:rRNA from 1 species
UCUGGUGUAUCAGUUGUACCGCCAGGUGCACCGCUGAGUAGCUACGUUUGGAAGAGAUAAGCACUGAAAGCAUAUAAGUGCGAAACUCGCCUCAAGAUGAGACAUCUUUUAAGGGUCGUUGUAGAUGACGACGUUGAUAGGCUAUAGGUGUAAAGGCAGUAAUGUCAUAGCCAAGUAGUACUAAUUACCCGUAGAUUUAUAGCC